rnacentral:rRNA from 1 species
UGGGGAAUCUUGCGCAAUGGCCUAACGGCUGACGCAGCGACGCCGCGUGAGGGAUGACGCCCUUCGGAGUGUAAACCUCUGUUGCUCGGGACGAAUGGCGCCUUUUGGCGACGUGACGGUACCGAGUGAGGAAGCACCGGCUAACUCCGUGCCAGCAGCCGCGGUAAUACGGGGGGUGCGAGCGUUGUCCGGAAUCACUGGGCGUAAAGGGCGCGUAGGUGGCCUGGUAAGUCUGUGGUGAAAGCCCGGAGCUCAACUCCGGGUCUGCCGCGGAUACUGCGAGGCUUGAGUGCUGUAGAGGGGGGUAGAAUAUCGGGUGUAGCGGUGGAAUGCGUAGAGAUCCGAUAGAAGACCGGUGGCGAAGGCGGCCCCCUGGGCAGUAACUGACACUGAGGCGCGACAGCGUGGGGAGCAAAC